UUAUUUUUAACUUAAAAAUAUAUAAAAUAAAUAUUUUGAUUUUCUAUAUAAAAAGAUAAAUUUUAUUUUACAUAUAUUUUCAAAUAAGCAUGUGAAAAUAUACUCUUCCCAUAAAAAAGAGUAAUUGAAAAAUAAAAAAAUAAAAAGUAAUAUGAGGCAUAUUAGGGGCCUUUGAAUGACUCAGGAAGAAACCUAACUUGGAAAUUUGGAAGCAACCUACCUUCUCAGCUCUGCGUCCUUCUCUGACACCCUUUAUUUUACAAAUUCUCGAAUUCCUUAGAUCAAGUUUUCCCAAUUACUCAGAACGAGAAUUUGGAAUAUCGGAAACCAAACACGACCCCUCUGGUAAUUUGUAUCUGUGUCCAAUCUUUCAGUUCUUACUCAGAAAAAAAAGGAGAAAAAAAAAUAUGGAUGGGUUGAAUGGCCGAACCGUCAUCUCCUUGAAGCCGAUACUGCCCCCUCAAUGUACUCCAAAAAUGUUGUGUUACCCACACAAGGUAAUGUCCUGGGCUCUUUAUAACACUUACUGCAGCCAUUUUUUGUUCCUCGAAAAUUUAUUACUAGUUGCUAGUAAGUCAUGGAACAUUUAUCAAUUAUUUUAUAGGAUAGCCACACUGUGAAUGAUAACAAUGCAUAGCGCAUCCAGUCUCAUGUGUGAACUCCUUCCUUUUGGUUGCUUCUCGUCUGUUGGAACCAAACGAGCCAAGCUCAGCUACUCCAAAACUUCUAAUAAUUUUUAUCCCAAUCAUAUCUGGGGAACGAAGUUUACUAGUCACUGUCAUUAUGGAAUAAAUGCAGAUUUCUCCUAUUGUUAUCCGUAUGUGGUACUUGUCCACCAAUGCUUGUUCUUUUUUUCCGUUAGUUUUGACGUAUCAGAGCUUUUCAUUCUUCCUUCACUAGUUUUUUUUUAUAGCAGUUAUAUGCAUCAUUCAUGCUUCAAAUAUGGGUAUUGUAAAUUUUGUGCAGAUCUGUUGCUCAUUGUAAUUUAUGCUAGGAUGCAUAGAAAUAGCAAGUACUGAAAAUAAAUUGUG